UAGGGAAUCUUCCGCAAUGGGCGAAAGCCUGACGGAGCAACGCCGCGUGAGUGAUGAAGGUCUUCGGAUCGUAAAACUCUGUUAUUAGGGAAGAACAAAUGUGUAAGUAACUAUGCACGUCUUGACGGUACCUAAUCAGAAAGCCACGGCUAACUACGUGCCAGCAGCCGCGGUAAUACGUAGGUGGCAAGCGUUAUCCGGAAUUAUUGGGCGUAAAGCGCGCGUAGGUGGUUUUUUAAGUCUGAUGCGAAAGCCCACGGCUCAACCGUGGAGGGUCAUUGGAAACUGGAAAACUUGAGUGCAGAAGAGGAAAGUGGAAUUCCAUGUGUAGCGGUGAAAUGCGCAGAGAUAUGGAGGAACACCAGUGGCGAAGACGACUUUCUGGUCUGUAACUGACGCUGAUGUGCGAAAGCGUGGGGAUCAAACAGG
rnacentral:rRNA from 1 species